GGCAGACGGGUGACGUAACGCGUAGGGAACGUACCCUUUGGUUCGGAAUAACCCAGGGAAACUUGGGCUAAUACCGGAUACGCCGGAAACGGGAAAGAUUUAUCGCCGAAGGAUCGGCCGCGUCGGAUUAGCUAGUUGGUGGGGUAAUGGCCACCAAGGCGACGAUCCGUAGCUGGUCUGAGAGGAUGAUCAGCCACACUGGGACUGAGACACGGCCCAGACUCCUACGGGAGGCAGCAGUGGGGAAUAUUGGACAAUGGGCGCAAGCCUGAUCCAGCCAUGCCGCGUGAGUGAAGAAGGCCUUAGGGUUGUAAAGCUCUUUCAGCGGGGAAGAUAAUGACGGUACCCGCAGAAGAAGCCCCGGCUAACUUCGUGCCAGCCGCCGCGG
rnacentral:rRNA from 1 species